ensembl:lncRNA
GAAUUAUCGUCACAGUGGUUGUUGGAGCCGGGGUUGUGGUUGUUGGAGCCAGGGUUGUGGUUGUUGGAGCUGUUGUUUUUGUUGUUGGAACUGGGGUUGUGUUUGUUGGACCCGGGGUUGUGGUUGUCGGAACUAAUGUUGUGGUUUUUAGAGCUGCAGCUGUGGUUUUUGGAGCCGCUGUUGUGGUUGUUGGAACCAAUGUUAUGGUUGUUGAAGCUGCUGUUGUGGUUUUUGGAGCCGCUAUUGUAGUUGUUUGAGCCGCGGUUGUUGUUGUUGGUGCAGUAGUUGUUGUUGGUGCAGCAGUUUUCGUUGUUGGUGCAGCAGUUUUCGUUGUUGGUGCAGCAGUUGUUGUCGUUGGUGCAGCAGCUGUUGUCGUUGGUGCAGCAGUUGUCGUUGUUUGUGCAGAAGUUGUUGUCGUUGGUGCAGCAGUUGCCGUUGUUGGUGCAGCAAUUGUCGUUGUUGGUACAGCAGUUGUUGUUGUAGGUGAAAAAGUUGUUGUUGUAGGUGCAGCAGUUGUGGUUGAUGCAGUAGUUGUUGUUUGUGCAGUAGUUGUUGUUGGUGCAGAAGUUGUUGUUGUUGGUGCAGCAGUUGUCGUUGGUGCAGCAGUUGUUGUUGUUGGUGCUACAAAUGUCGUUGUUGGUGCAGCAGUUGUCGUUGUUGGUGCAGCAGUUGUUGUCGUUGGUGCAGCAGUUGUCGUAGUUAGUGAAGCAGUUGUUGGUGCAGCAGUUGUCGUUUGUGCAGCAGUUGUCGUUGGUGCAGCAGUUGUCGUGGUUGGUGCAGCAGUUGUCGUUUGUGCAGCAGUUGUCGGUGAUCCAGCAGUUGUCGGUGUUGUUGCCACUGUUAUGGUUGUUGGAGCCGCUGUUAUGGUUGUUGGUGCCACUGUUGAAGUUGUUGGAGCUGCUGUUGUGGUAGCUGGAACUGUUGUGGUAGUUGGAACUGCUGUUGUGGUUGUUGGAGCAGCUGUUGUGGUUGUCGGAGCUGCUGUUGUGGUUGGUUGAUCCGGGCCUGUGGUUGUUGGAGCCGCUGUUGUGGUUGUUGGAGCUGCUGUUGUGGUUGGUGGACCCAGGCCUGUUGUUGUUGGAGCUGCAGUUGUCGUUUGUGCAGCAGAUGUCGUUGGUGCAAUAGUUGUCAAUGUUGGUGCAGCAGUUAUUGUCGUUGGUGCUGCAGUUGUCGUUGUUGAUGCAGCAGUUGUUGCUGUAGGUGCAACAGUUGUCGUUGUAGGUGCAGCAGUUGUGGUUGAUGCAGUAGUUGUUGUUGUUAGUGCAGUAGUUGUUGUUGUUGUUCCUGCAGCAGUUGUCGUUGUUGGUGCAGCAGUUAUUGUAGUUGGUGCAGCAGUUGUCGUUGUUAGUGAAGCAGUUGUUGGUGCAGCAGUUGUCAUUGGUGUAGCAGUGGUUGGUGUUGGUACAGCAGUUGUCGUUAUUGGUGCGACAGUUGUCAAUGUUGGUACAGCAGUUAUUGUCGCUGUUGGUGCAGCAGUUGUCGUUGUUGGUGCAGCAGUUGUCGUUUGUGCAGCAGUUGUUGUUUGUGCAGCAUUUGUCGUUGUUGGUACAGCAGUUGUCGUUUGUGCAGCAGUUGUCGUUUUUGCAGCAGUUGUCGUUGUUGGUGCAGCAGUUGUCGUUUGUGCAGCAGUUGUCGUUGGUGCAACAGUUGUCAAUGUUGGUGCAGCAAUUAUUGUUGUUGAUGCAGCAAUUAUCGUUGCUGGUGCAGGAAUUGUUGUUGUUGGUACAGCAGUUGUUGUUGUAGGUGCAACAGUUGUCGUUGUUAGUGAAGCAGUUGUUGGUGCAGCAGUUGUUGUUGUUGGUGCAGCAGUUGUCGUUGUUAGUGAAGCAGUUGUUGGUGCAGCAGUUGUCAUUGGUGUAGCAGUGGUUGGUGUUGGUACAGCAGUUGUCGUUAUUGGUGCGACAGUUGUCAAUGUUGGUGCAGCAGUUAUUGUCGCUGUUGGUGCAGCAGUUGUCGUUGUUGGUGCAGCAGUUGUCGUUUGUGCAGCAGUUGUUGUUUGUGCAGCAUUUGUCGUUGUUGGUACAGCAGUUGUCGUUUGUGCAGCAGUUGUCGUUUUUGCAGCAGUUGUCGUUGUUGGUGCAGCAGUUGUCGUUUGUGCAGCAGUUGUCGUUGGUGCAACAGUUGUCAAUGUUGGUGCAGCAGUUAUUGUUGUUGAUGCAGCAAUUAUCGUUGCUGGUGCAGGAAUUGUCGUUGUUGGUACAGCAGUUGUUGUAGGUGCAACAGUUGUCGUUGUUAGUGAAGCAGUUGUUGGUGCAGCAGUUGUUGUUGGUUUAGCAGUUAUUGUCGUUGGUGCUGCAGUUGUCGUUGUUGAUGCAGCAAUUGUCGUUGGUGCAGCAGUUGUCGUUGUUGGUGCAGCAGUUGUCAUUUGUGCAGCAGUUGACGUUGGUGCAACAGAUGUCAAUGUUGGUGCAGCUGUUAUUGUCGUUGGUGAUGCAGUUGUUGAUGCAGCAAUUGUCGUUGUUGGUGCAGCAGUUGUCGUUUGUGCAGCAGUUGUCGUUGGUCCAGCAGUUGUCAGUGUUGGUGCCGUGGUUGUGGUUGUUGGAGCCGCUGUUAUGGUUGUUGGUGCCACUGUUGAAGUUGUUGGAGCUGCUGUUGUGGUUGUUGGAGCAGCUGUUGUGGUUGUUGGAGCAGCUGUUGUGGUUGUUGGAGCUGCUGUGGUGGUUGUUGGAAGUGCUGUUGUGGUUGUUGGAGCCGCUGUUGUGGUUGUUGGAGCUGCUGUGGUGGUUGGUGGACCCAGGCCUGUUGUUGUUGGAGCUGCAGUUGUGGUUGGUGGAGGUGCUGUUGUUGUAGUUGGAACUGGAGUUGUGGUACUUGGAGCUGCUGUUGUGGUUGUUGGACCCACGGUUGUCCUUGUUGGUGCAGCAGUUGUUGUUAGUGCAGCAGUUGUCGUUGUUGGUGCAGCAGUUGUCGUUUGUGCAGCA